CCCCACCCCAUCAGCCCCCACCACUGUCUUCCCUCUAUCCACGAUCGCUGAUCACUGGCCACCGUCUCUGGCCACCUGCGUCAACCUCUAGCCACCGUAAUCACUACCUGACGUCUGCUCAAGCUCCGUCGUUCACUAUUUUCCAGUUUUAUUUCCUUUUAGCGUGCUUGCGUCGUUCUUUCCAUUCGCUUUUCAGUCUCUUGCAUCUCGUCUACCAUUUUCCGGCCACUGUGGUUGCUCAUCUUACCAUUGUCUUGUGCUCGUCUUAUCCCUCGUUCGAUUUUCAGCUUAACGCCGUGCUGCCGUUCAUCCAUUUCUGCCACACCAUUGACGGCGACACUCCUCAGUUACUGUUUUCACCAACUAUCGCCACCAGCCCCUUCAUAUCUUCACUUCCAGGAAUGCCACCUAAGGAAUCCACUUCUAAAAGGAAGACAAAGGACAUUCAAGUCCCUUCCGAUUCACCAGAACUUCCAACUGAACCAGCCUUAAAAAGAAGAGGAAAUUUGAUUUUUCCAAGUUCAUAGAUCGAGUUACGAGUGACAGAUUUGACACAAGCAUAGCUUCCAAAGACUUCCAUGAGGAUAGGUUCUUUGAAAUCCCUUGAGAUAAGGCUAUCUUGAAGAAUUUAGAGCAGCAAAAAUGGACUCAGUUUCUCCACCAAUUAGAUCCUUAUAUACCUAUCUUGGUUAGAGAGUUUUAUGCCAAUGCUGCUUCUUGUAAGGAGGGUCACUAUUGGGUCUGACAUCACAAAGUAGUUGUGAAUCCUGCAGUUAUCCGUGCUCAUUAUAAGUUACCUCCAGUGAAUGAUUGUCAUUUUAAAAAGUGUAAAAAGGAGGGCAUUAUACCUAAUUGGGAGAUCAUCAUCCCUGUUCUUGAAAAGAAAACAGCUACUGCUAUUGGUUCUAAAUUGGUUAGGGAUGACUUGUGUCAGCAAGCAUUAUUCUGGCUUCACUUUGUCUCCCAUAAUGUCUUGCCUAGCUCCCAUGUUUUUGCGGUCACUAGGGAUCGGGCCUUUUUGAUCUAUUGCAUUUUGCAAGAUUUACCUAUUGAUUUGUCUGUGUUGAUGUUCUUUCCGAUCAAGAAAUGCAUUACUAAGCUAUCCGGACAACGAGCUUCAAUGAUUUUCCCUCAUUUACUCACCGCUCUUAUGUUGAAGUCUAAGGUGACAGUUGACACAUCUGAUGACCGCCCUCAACCAUUGUCUGCUCUCAAGUAUACUUCUUUCAAUGCUGGUUCAGAUGAUGAGGGAGCGGCCCAGGCCCAACCAAAUGAGGAGCAACUUGCUCCUGUGACUGAGAUAGCACCAGUGGACCCUGUGUUUCUUCUUGCUUCCUUUUGGACUUUUGUUCAUGAUCGCCUUGAUCUCCUUCUAGCACAGCAGGUUCUAUUCAACAAGCGGCAGGAUAUGAUGUGGCGUGCCGUACAAAUGAUGCCUGGUUUUGUUAUGCCUAGUACGAAGGAUCCCUCUCUCUCUUGUUUAGUUGUUAUUUAAUCAUUGGGGCAAUGUUUAAUUUAAGUGUGGGGGAGGGAGCACUUACUUUCUUAAUUGUUACCUUGCUAGUCUUUGAGUUAUUUUGUUAGGAAUUAGUUGUCCAUAUUUGUGAGUAGCUUAAAUAGCUUUAAAAAAAAUUGAAAAUUUUGAAAAUCUUACAAAUAUAUUAUUUAGGUCAACUUUUUUUUUUUCUUUUUUGUGAAUGUUGCUAAGGUUAAAUUGAUUCUAACUUUAAAGGAUUAAGUUUGAUUAGGAGUUGGUCCCUUCUUCUUAGAAUUUUAGUAAAUAGGCAACGAAUUAAGCUUAGAUAAUUGAAUGUAGGUUGUCCAAAAAGCUUAUGAGAAGCUUGAGCAUAAAUUUAAUAUUCUCUUAAGAGGGAGUACAUUUAUUGUGAUUUUAUCUCUAGAACUUCUUUUGAAUCUUUGUUGAGACUUGCAAUAGCCAUUUGCAUACACAAAAAUAAUUUAGGCGUUCAUUUUCUUAGUUAGUCUGGCCAAAUAUCCAUCCUGUUUCAUAAUUAACUUUUGUUUCACUCGUUUGAGCCACUUGCUAAGAAUUAUCCACUUUUCAUCCAUAAGCCUUUUUGCUAAGAAUUAUCCACUUUUCAUCCAUAUCUUUUAUUCCCGUUUACUACUUUGGUAAGUGCUAAGUAGUACAUUUAUAAAGGAAAUUGAAGGAAUUAGAAUUGAGGUGGGGAUUCAAAAGUGAUAGAAAGAAAAGAGGAAAGUGAAAUUUACAAAAACAAAGAAGAAAAGAAAAGAAAGUUAGAAAGUGCAAAAAAAAAAAUAUAUAUAUAUAUAUAGUGAAUAAAAAAAAUGUCAAAUGAAAAAAAAAAUCUGUUGAUCCUCAUUGGUGCCUUUUGUAAAUAGUUGCAGUUUGUCCUUCAAUUUUCUUAUUUCUCACUUAAGAUGCUUAGUACUAACUAGAGUAUGUAAUUUUGAUCCAUUGAAUAAUUUCAUUUCAUCAUCAUAUUUGAAAUAUUACAACCUUUGAAAAGUCCUUUUAAUUUGUGUGUGCAUAGGCAUAGUUAAGCAGAGAUUAAGAUGACAAACAAGCAUAUGGUAGAUGGGUUGCAAUACGUGGAAAUGAGAGAAACACUAACAUUUGAACACCUUGAGCGUAGAGUGCAAACACUUGACCGAUGAGGGACAACUUGUUAAAAAUUAUCUUUGUUUAAUUAAUUGCUUUGUUACUUGCAUUCUUGGAAGGUUGGAAAAGUUUCUAAUUAAAUUGAAUCCUUGAAAGUUGGAAUUGCUUUUGACCUUAAUACAUUCACAUAAUUUGUUGUCAUUUUUGUACAGUGAUUUUCUUUUGCUUGAGGACAAGCAAGACUUCAAGUAUGGGGGUUUGAUGACUAUUUUCAUGUGUUUUUAGGAAAUUUUAGGUUCAAUUUGGAGUCAUCUAAAUAAAUUUGAGAGAAAAUGAGACUAUUAUUUGAGAAAAUGAAAGAAAAGUUCUUUUGAAUAUGAGGAGGGAGAAUUGGUAAUAUCUUGUUGACAUGAAUGGAUUACUUGAGCUAAACUUUCAUUAAUGAUUUUAUAUUGUGUGUAAGGUAAUCCAAAUUAAGACUUAAAGGGCUAUAUGUAAAUAAAGAUUGACGAUAAAGAAAAAGCAUGAUUUAUGUUACAGCCUAAUUAAGUAAUUGUGGGAAUUAUGUUGCAACAUAGCCUGAUUAUGCCGCAACAGUAUCGUCAGUUACCGAAACGCAUAGCUUUGCAAAAAAAUUGAUAUUUUUAGGUUUCUGAACAUUGUUGCUUGUCAUUCUUUGUCUUUCUUCAUCUCCAACAGCUCCAAAUUGACCAGGGAAGAGGGAGAAACACCAUGGAUGAGGUGGAGAAGCUUGGGUUUCAUAGGAGAUUAGUGAUUUUUGUCCAAAAUCACUCCGAUUAAGCUUUCUUCUCCUUCACUUCUUCGUUUUGAUGUAUUUUCUUUUCAGUUUUGCUAUUUCCAGAAUAAUGUGUGGCUAAAUCUCUUAGACUUAGAGGAACUAUGAACCUAUUGAUGGAUUAGACUCGUAUUUACUCAUUAGUUAUGCUUAUUGUUGAUUUUGGUUGCUUAAUCUUAUGCUUUAAUGUCUAUUUAAUGUUUGGCCAACAUUAAAUGUGAUUUUGGGUGUUGGGAUUUUUCCUUUGAGAAAGGAGAAUUUCUUCUAGACCAUAGGAUUAAGUAAUAUGGGAUUAGAUUUUAUCUAAUUUGUUGUUCCUAAAGGUCAGAUUGGAAUUGGGAGGUCUAUUCGUGCAAAGAAAUUGACUCCUAGGUUUAUUGGGCCAUUUGAAAUUCUGAGAGAAUUGGGCUUUUGGCAUACUGGAUUACUUCAUCUCUUCAUCUGUCAGGAACUGAGAACAGGACACAUUCUUCUUAGAGGAAAAUGGUGUGAUGGCUUAUACAAAAUUGAUGGUGUUCCACAAGUUUAUGAUUCUACCUCCAAUGAACACCCGGUAGCUUUACUUGCUGCUUUGGAUACUUGGCAUAGAUGUUUAGGCCAUACAUCGUGUAAAGUUGUUAAAGAUGUCGUACAAAUUUAUAAUAUCUCUUUUGACAAUAAAGAAAAUUUUGACUUCUUAAUGCUUGCAAUAUGGUAAAAUGCCCAAGUUUCCUUUUCAAUCUUUUGAUUCUAAAACUAAAGCACCACUUGAAUUAAUAUAUAUUGACUUAUGGGGGCAGCUCCUGUCACUUCAAAAUCUAAUUUUAAGUAUUAUAUAAGUUUUGUUGAUGAUUUUAGUUGUUUUAUGUGGUUCUAUCCACUUCAUUAAAAGAGAGAGGCUCUUUUAGCUUUUCUGCAAUUUCAAAAACUUAGCUUGUAGAAAAUUAGUUUGAUAAAAGGAUUAAUGCCCUUCAAAGUGACUAGGGAGGAGAAGAUUUUAAACAGCAUUGGUAGAGUUUGGUGUUUUAUUUCAUCAUCCUUGCCCUUAUACGUCAUAACAAAAUGGACAUGUGGAAAGAAAACAUCGUCACAUAGUUGAAAUGGGAUCAAGCAUGUUAGCUCAGGCCUUAAUGCCUUUACACUUUUUAUGGGAAGCAUUUAUGAAUGCUAUUUAUGUGAUUAACAGGAUACCUACUCCAAUAUUAGGAUACCUACUCCAAUAUUGGAUCAGAAAUCUCCAUUUGAAGUUUUGUUUGGUUCUAAACCAAAUUAUGGUGGUUUGAAGAUUUUCGAUUGUACUUGCUUUCCAAGUUUGAGGCCAUAUAAUAAACAUAAAUUAGAGUUUUGUUCAGAGAGAUAUAUUUAUUUGGGUCCUGGUCCUUCAGAUAAGGGAUAUAAAUGUUUAUGUCUAUUUAGUUGUGUUUUUAUCUCGCACCAUGUCAUUUUUUAAUGAAAAUGAUUUUCUGUAUGCAAGCUUAAUAACAUAAUCCUCUUCUUCUAAAAAACUAGACACUAGUUUUUCAUUACGAGCGUGGCUUCCACACCUCUGUCCUGACCAUGCAGAAAUAUAGUCUUUAUAGACUGCUUCAUGCAACGAAGAAAGAUUGCAUUGUGUCACUUAUUUCAACAGUGUUGUUUCAUGAUGUUGAAGCUACUCUCUCUCAGACUAAUAAAGAUAUCUUGCUCCGGGGUAUGCCAUGCGUGGUCACCUUACAAAGAAAGCAGAUGUCUUUUCCUUUAGUGUUUUGGCCCUGGAGAUAGUUAGUGGGAGGCCAAAUUUUGAUUCAAGCCUGGAAGGGGAGAAAGUGUUUCUUCUAGAAUGGGCUUGGCAACUGCAUGAAAGCAACUCUAUACUUAGACUGGUAGAUCCUAGACCAUCAACAGGUACAAGUUUCAACGAGAAAGAAGUUAAAAGGCUUGUAGGGAUAUCUCUUCUGUGCACUCAAUCAUCACCAUUGUUAAGACCACCCAUGUCCCGUGUCGUGGCAAUGCUUUCUGGAGAUAUGGAAGUAAGCACUGUAACUUCAAAGCUCGGAUACUUGAUUGACUGGAAAUUUGAUGAUUUGGGCAGCUUCAUGACUGGCUUGGCCACAAAAGGAUCAGGUACAAGUCAAUAUAAAUCAUCCACGAGUACCAGCACAAUCAGUACUACAAACCAAGCACCUGAAGUUGCAAACCAAGCUCAUCCUACAUCACAUUCUUAGUGAAGGUAGGUGAGAGUUGAUGAUUAGUAAUGCAUGUUUUCUUUUCGGUUCCCCAAUUCUAUGUAUAAUAUCCGCAAGAGAAUGAGAUUGUGCUUAUAAAAUUUGUUGUUUAUUCA